AGCAGUAGCCGCGGUAAUACGUAGGUGGCAAGCGUUGUCCGGAAUUAUUGGGCGUAAAGCGCGCGCAGGCGGAUCGGUCAGUCUGUCUUAAAAGUUCGGGGCUUAACCCCGUGAUGGGAUGGAAACUGCCAAUCUAGAGUAUCGGAGAGGAAAGUGGAAUUCAUAGUGUAGCGGUGAAAUGCGUAGAUAUUAGGAAGAACACCAGCGGCGAAGGCGACUUUCUGGACUGCAACUGACGCUGAGGCUCGAAAGCCAGGGGAGCGAACGGGAUUAGAUACCCCGGUAGUCCCUGUCUCUUAUACA
rnacentral:rRNA from 1 species